GACGAGGAUUGCAAUAGAUUAAGACCACUGAGCUACAGAGGUGCAGAUGUAUUUGUCUUAGUUUUCUCCUUAGUUAGUCGAGCGAGCUAUGAGAAUGUACUAAAAAAGUGGACCCCUGAACUUCAAAAUUAUGCCCCAGGUGUCCCUGUGGUUCUAGUUGGCACAAAAUUGGAUCUUCGUAAGGACAAACAUUAUCUGGCUGAUCAUCCUGGUUUGCUUCCUCUUAACACUGCACAGGUGUGUUUCACUCACUGGUGGUAAAUGUAAUAGAUUUAUCAGUGAUUUAUUAUCUUAAUCAUCCUAUCAAAACAGGGUGAGGAGCUCCGCAAACAGAUUAGUGCUGCUUAUUACAUCGAGUGCAGCUCAAAAACACAGCAGAAUGUGAAAGCAGUUUUUGAUGCUGCAAUCAAGGUUGUCAUCAAGCCACCGCAGAAACAGAAGGAGAAGAAGAAAAAGCCUAGUCGAGGAUGUCUGAUAAACAUCUUCUGCAGGAACUUUGUGCCUCCCAAGUGAAACCGAUUGCUUUCCUUCAAACCAAAAGCUUGUGCUCCUCAUGGUACCGCUAUUCCAGUGUGUCUUCGCCUAGAUAUUCUUUUUAGUCAACAGGAUCAAGUGAGUUUGCUUCUAAUGGAUUACUCAGCAUUACUUCUCCCUCAAAAUCGCACUGUGGUUGUUUACAUUUACGGUCUACUUAUAGUAAAAGAAUAUAUAUUCGACUGCUAAUUUACUAUAUUGAUUUCUUGUAUAGAGUUUAAAACUUAAGUGGAUUUAUGGUUUCUUGUACUGUGCUU